UGGGGAAUUUUGGACAAUGGGCGCAAGCCUGAUCCAGCCAUGCCGCGUGCAGGAUGAAGGCCCUCGGGUUGUAAACUGCUUUUGUACGGAACGAAAAGCCUCUUUCUAAUAAAGAGGGGUGAUGCCGGUACCGUAAGAAUAAGCACCGGCUAACUACGUGCCAGCAGCCGCGGUAAUACGUAGGGUGCGAGCGUUAAUCGGAAUUACUGGGCGUAAAGCGUCCGCAGGCGGUCUUGCAAGAUAGUGGUGAAAUCCCCGGGCUCAACCUGGGAACUGCCAUUGUGACUGCAAGGCUGGAGUACGGCAGAGGGGGGUGGAAUUCCACGUGUAGCAGUGAAAUGCGUAGAGGUGUGGAGGAACACCGAUGGCGAAGGCAGCCCUCUGGGCCUGUACUGACGCUCAUG
rnacentral:rRNA from 1 species